rnacentral:rRNA from 1 species
UGGGGGAUAUUGCACAAUGGGCGAAAGCCUGAUGCAGCGACGCCGCGUGGGGGAUGAAGGCCUUCGGGUUGUAAACUUCUUUUGCUCUGAACAAGGCGCACCAUGGGGUGUGUUGAGUGUAGGGGUUGAUUAGCGCCGGCUAACUACGUGCCAGCAGCCGCGGUAAUACGUAGGGCGCGAGCGUUGUCCGGAAUUAUUGGGCGUAAAGGGCUUGUAGGUGGCUGGUUGCGUCUGUCGUGAAAGCUCAUGGCUUAACUGUGGGUUUGCGGUGGGUACGGGCUGGCUUGAGUGCAGUAGGGGAGGCUGGAAUUCCUGGUGUAGCGGUGGAAUGCGCAGAUAUCAGGAGGAAUACCGGUAGCGAAGGCGGGUCUCUGGGCUGUUACUGACACUGAGGAGCGAAAGCAUGGGGAGCGAACAGG